rnacentral:tmRNA from 1 species
AAUCUUUUUUUUGCCGCCCUAUGAGCCUAUAUUGAGUCUGCUGGCGCAAGCCAGCUAUGGCGAUAAACGGGCGACGUAAUAAGCUUCUCGGACCCGGGGGCGGUACCCGGCGCCUCCACCAGGUUUCAGUUGGUCAUGAGUUUGACUUCGACGAAGUGCCGGACGACUGAAACGUGGCGGGGGCGAAAUAGGAUCGACGAGGGUGUAAAGGUCGUGCUUUUGCCCGGCAUGGUAUCCGCCGUUAUCGGGCCAACCAUAUAGUUGCAAAUGAUAACAACUAUGCGGAGGCUCGUCUCGCUGCGUAGUCAGCGCGAUGGCCUAAAGUUAAAGUCCUUUCCCCUUCGCAGGGGUUAGGCGCGGUUUCGGAGGGCACCGGGCAACAGAAGCCCUCCACU